rnacentral:tRNA from 1 species
GGGAGGACGUCGUCCCCGGUGGGGCGGCCGGACUUCAAAUCCGGUUAGGGCAGCGAGCCUGUCCUGGGUGGGUUCAACUCCCAUGUCCUUCCGCCA